rnacentral:lncRNA from 1 species
GCGGUCCUAUCAUCCGUCCCAACCUUCUCUCCCGAAAAGACCCUUACUAAUUUAGAGUACUACUCCUUACUAAUUACAGUAGAUGGAUCAGAUAGAUGCCUUCUUCUCUCGCUCGCUUCGCCCUCACUGACUUCAUCACGGUUCUUUCUUCCAGUCUCCUGAAUCGAUCAGAUCGAUCCCCUGAUGAGAGAGAGCACAGCUGCCCCCCACAUCUAUAAUCAGUGUGCAGGCAGAAAACUGAUCUUUUCUUUGUGUGUGUGUGUUUCCUCCGUGUUUCCUGUGAUUCUUGAUGUUUUCUUGUCCCAGGUUGGAACUUGGAAUGGGGUAGAGAAGGGAGGAGGGAGAGAGAGAGAGAGGGGGCGUUCAUGGCGGCGCGCCGGCCGGAAGGGGGCGCAGAGAAGAGAUUGACAGAAGAGAGUG